CUAAACGACUCUCGGCAACGGAUAUCUCGGCUCACGCAUCGAUGAAGAACGUAGCGAAAUGCGAUACUUGGUGUGAAUUGCAGAAUCCCGUGAACCAUCGAGUUUUUGAACGCAAGUUGCGCCCGAAGCCUUCUGGCUGAGGGCACGUCUGCCUGGGCGUCACG
rnacentral:rRNA from 1 species